GCCGGGCACGGUGGCUCAAGCCUGUAAUCCCAGCACUUUGGGAGGCCGAGACGGGCGGAUCACGAGGUCAGGAGAUCGAGACCAUCCUGGCUAACANUGUUAGCCAGGAUGGUCUCGAUCUCCUGACCUCGUGAUCCGCCCGUCUCGG
rnacentral:SRP_RNA from 1 species